GUUAAUACUACAGCACUAUUGGUAACGAUGGAUGUUCAAAGCCUGUAUACCAUAAUACCUCAUGAUGAUGGUAUACAGGCACUCAGAGAUGUUCUCAUACAGUCUUCCGUAUAUGAGGGACCACCUAUUGAAUUCCUGAUGGAAUUCCUUUCUAUAGCACUCUCGUGUAACUAUUUCAAAUUUGAAAAUCAAUUUUUUCUUCAACUGACCGGCACUGCAAUGGGGGCGGCAAUGGC